AUUGAACGCUGGCGGCAGGCCUAACACAUGCAAGUCGAGCGGAGCGGCGGACGGGUGAGUAAUGCCUAGGAAUCUGCCUGGUAGUGGGGGAUAACGUCCGGACACGGGCGCUAAUACCGCAUACUAUCAGAUGAGCCUAGGUCGGAUUAGCUAGUUGGUGGGGUAAAGGCCUACCAGGGCGACGAUCGGUAACUGGUCUGAGAGGAGGAUCAGUAACACUGGAACUGAGAAACGGUCCAGACCCCUACGGGAGGCAGCAGUGGGGAAUAUGGGACAAUGGGCGAAAGCCUGAUCCAGCCAUGCGGCGUGUGUGAAGAAGGUCUUCGGAUUGUAAAGCACUUUAAGUUGGGAGGCGUUACCAACAGAAUAAGCACCGGCUAACUUCGUGCCAGCCGCCGCGGUAAUAC
rnacentral:rRNA from 1 species